CAGUCGCCGCGGUAAUACGAAGGGGGCUAGCGUUACUCGGAAUUACUGGGCGUAGAGGGCGCGUAGGCGGCACGAUUAGUCAGGCGUGAAAUUCCUGGGCUCAACCUGGGGACUGCGCUUGAUACGGUCGAGCUAGAGGAUGGAAGAGGGUUGUGGAAUUCCCAGUGUAGAGGUGAAAUUCGUAGAUAUUGGGAAGAACACCGGUGGCGAAGGCGGCAACCUGGUCCAUUACUGACGCUGAGGCGCGACAGCGUGGGGAGCAAACAGGAUUAGAUACCCCCGUAGUCCCUGUCUCUUAUAC
rnacentral:rRNA from 1 species